GUUCUCGCUUUGGUAGCACCUAUACUAAAACUGGAACGAUACAGAGAUUAGCAUGGUCCCUGCGCAAGGAUGACAUGCAAAUUUGUGAAGCAUUCCAUAUUUUU